rnacentral:other from 1 species
UUAAUUCUGUGGGCUCAUGACAAAGUAAACCCUACAAGGAUAUUAUAAUUGGGGACCGUCCCUGGCAAUGGUGUGCAAGCUCAUCCAGUAAUGAGAAGCCUGAAGUUGCUAUUAUGGUCGCCCACCUUAGUGAACCCGGGUUUACGGAUCAUUGAGCACCACAGGAUUUCU